AGAUCCUGUGAAGUCAUGGACCUAUAACUCUAAGAUUUUCUUCAACUUCACUUUGCAUCAUGUAGAGGAAAAGGGUGGGGGACCACCACCAACACCACCACCACUCAUCGAAUGGCAGAGCACUCUGACAGACCGCAGUGCCUAUGAAAAUGGAAGGUGUUAAUUUGUGUCAUCUUUCCUUUCCCCAAUCUAUCCAAUUGGACAUAAAGCAAGGUGUUUGUCCUAAAUACAUAUUUUUGAAAGGAGCUCCACAUAACCCAAGAAUACAUGAGUGCAAGUAUGCUGGCUCUAUCAAUCCCUUUGCUAUUGUAAAUGAUUCUUCAAUAUAAAAGCAAUAGAUCGACUCCAUACUUCCAUACUAUAACAAAGAAGCAAUAUUGUGAGAACUGUCUUGCUCGGAGCCAUUCAUCAAGAGAUUGCACUUCAAAGGUCAACUGUAAGAAUUAUGGCGAACAUCAUCAUGCACUACUGCAUCAUUCACUUCACCCUUCAUUAAGCAUCUCAUCACUCAACUCAAAGAGGCCCAAAAAAUUAUAGAAGCAACUCACCACACACUGUCCACCAAUAAUCAACUCACCGAGAAUUAACAAACAACCAGCCACAACAACAGUUAAUGAUAUAAUAUAAUAUUGCAAUAUAAGAUCUUUAAUAAACCUUAUUUUUGAAUACAAA